rnacentral:rRNA from 1 species
AGAGUUUGAUGGUGGCUCAGGAUGAACGCUAGCUACAGGCUUAACACAUGCAAGUCGAGGGGCAGCAUGACCUAGCAAUAGGUUGAUGGCGACCGGCGCACGGGUGAGUAACACGUAUCCAACCUACCGGUUAUUCCGGGAUAGCCUUUCGAAAGAAAGAUUAAUACCGGAUAGUAUAACGAGAAGGCAUCUUUUUGUUAUUAAAGAAUUUCGAUAACCGAUGGGGAUGCGUUCCAUUAGUUUGUUGGCGGGGUAACGGCCCACCAAGACAUCGAUGGAUAGGGGUUCUGAGAGGAAGGUCCCCCACAUUGGAACUGAGACACGGUCCAAACUCCUACGGGAGGCAGCAGUGAGGAAUAUUGGUCAAUGGACGAGAGUCUGAACCAGCCAAGUAGCGUGAAGGAUGACUGCCCUAUGGGUUGUAAACUUCUUUUAUAUGGGAAUAAAGUGAGCCACGUGUGGCUUUUUGUAUGUACCAUACGAAUAAGGAUCGGCUAACUCCGUGCCAGCAGCCGCGGUAAUACGGAGGAUCCGAGCGUUAUCCGGAUUUAUUGGGUUUAAAGGGAGCGUAGGCGGACUAUUAAGUCAGCUGUGAAAGUUUGCGGCUCAACCGUAAAAUUGCAGUUGAUACUGGUCGUCUUGAGUGCAGUAGAGGUAGGCGGAAUUCGUGGUGUAGCGGUGAAAUGCUUAGAUAUCACGAAGAACUCCGAUUGCGAAGGCAGCUUACUGGACUGUAACUGACGCUGAUGCUCGAAAGUGUGGGUAUCAAACAGGAUUAGAUACCCUGGUAGUCCACACAGUAAACGAUGAAUACUCGCUGUUUGCGAUAUACAGCAAGCGGCC